UACGUAGGGGGCAAGCGUUAUCCGGAUUUACUGGGUGUAAAGGGAGCGUAGACGGCAGGGCAAGUCUGAAGUGAAAGCCCGGGGCCCAACCCCGGGACUGCUUUGGAAACUGUCCGGCUGGAGUGCAGGAGGGGUGGGCGGAAUUCCUAGUGUAGCGGUGAAAUGCGUAGAUAUUAGGAGGAACACCGGCGGCGAAGGCGGCCCACUGGACUGUAACUGACGUUGAGGCUCGAAAGCGUGGGGAGCAAACA
rnacentral:rRNA from 1 species